rnacentral:sRNA from 1 species
UUUUGUUAGUGAACGUAAUCGUCAAAGAAGAUCGUUAUUACCUUCCAAGAAUUCAUCUUCAUUCCUCAGUCGCCAAUGUACCCAUUUCAUUUUCACUGUCAUCUAGUGUCCCUGCUACAGUUAACCUGCUUCCAUCACCAUACUACCAUCUGAAUGUAGUAGUUUUACUCAACUCAACGUCGUCAACAAGUUAACGUGAUGGUCAUGUAAUUAGGACUCUGGUAUAUUACAUCCUUGGGUGAUCAUGAAGAGCCGCAUUUUGUUUAUCAUAUCUGAUAUUAAACAAAUUUCUGUCUCAAUUUUUGUAUCAUCUUCAAGGCAGAUUUGCUACAUGAAUACUUGUUCAUACGGUAAGUCAGCAUUCUUCCGUCAAGAUUAUCUUUGCAUAGACAUAAUUCUUAGUUUGACCGAUCCUGGAUCGAGUUCGACUUUAUGACUAUGCUAAAUUAAUUAAUCCAUCCACGCCGUCUUUCUAUUUUAUUUGAUUGAAUGGUACUAACUGAGUUUUACAUUUUUUCUUUCAGGUUAAUUUAAUGGAUGAUAUUUUUUCAACUUGCUCUAUUAGGAUGUCGGUGAGAAUCUGUGUAUGUAUCUAGCUUGUUUUAUAAUUUUAAGGCAGUUUUUGCUACAUGAAAGCUGUAAAUCUUGCUCUCAUGUCGUUCCCUAUUCUGCAAAAUCAAAUUUUUAUGAGACGAUAUGCUUUGCAUUAAAAUUUUUAUUUGAGUUUUAAUACGAAUCUUAUUACACAUUUCUUUUUCAUUCAUCCAGGUGGCAGUCUCAGAGUCAACGUAUGGUCAAAAUGAAUUGUUACAAUCUCUACGAUAGAUUAUGUAAUUUUUUGACGAAUCAAAAUCAUAAUCCUAACUGUUAUACAGAAUGUAUCAUUUGGUUUACAGAACACUUAUUUCUGUGAUAAAUUCAUACGGUAAGUUAGCAUUCUUCCGCCAAGAUUAUCUUUGCAUAGACAUAAUUCUUAGUUUGACCGAUCCUAAAUCGGAUUGGACCUUAUGACUAUGCUAAAUUAAUUAGGCCAUCCACGCCGUCUUUCUAUUUUGUUUGAUUGCAUGGUACUAACUGAGUCUUACAUUUUUUCUUCCAGGUUAAUUAAAUGGAUGAUAUUUUUUCAUACUUGAUCAAUGAGGAUAUCAAUGAUAACCUGAGUAUGUAUCUACUGUAUAUUUAGCUUGCCUUUCAAUUUUUAAGGCAGUUUAUGCUACAUGAAAGCUCUACUUCUUGUUCUCAUGUCGUUCCCUAUUCUGCAAAAUCAAAUUUUUAUGAGACGCUAUGUUUUGCUUUAAAAUUUAUAUUUAAGUUUGAAUACGAAUCUUAUAAUACAUUGCUUUUCAUUCAUUCAGAUAGCAGUUCUAGAAUCUAAAAAAAUUAUGUUUACUUCCACCCGAAAAAUAUCUAUCACUUGGAAGUUUCCCGAAUCAAUUUUUGUCCCGUACGUGUGGUGAAUGACAUUGGCUACGGAAGUCGACCAAUUCAUUUAUAGACUGAUAUACAUUGAUCCAAUGGCUAAAUCAAUGUGGACUCCAAUCAAAAUGAAAUUGAACUGUAUCAGUUGUUAAAAUCGUUUCAAUAUAUUAAAAAUAGCACUAAUUCAGUAUCAUA